rnacentral:lncRNA from 1 species
GCAAGUGGCGCAGAUGCUGGACAAAGCCCACAGAGUAGAACCACAAAGUGUGCAGUGGAGGAGGCUGCUGCAGCCUGGCCCCCCUCCCCGCCUCUGGCCGUUACCUCUUCCUGGAAGGAUGAGGAGGAAGAAGAGGAGGAAGGAGAGAAGCUAAUGGCAGAGCUGCAGGCAUUCCAGAAGUGUUCCCUUAUGGAUAUAAACUCACACAGUCAUGCUGAGCAGUCCCGGGCUGACAGCCACGUUAACGACACUAGGCCAGGUGCCACAGCCCUGCCCAAGGAGAAGAAGGGCAUUUUUGGAAGCUGGAGGACAAAGCAAGCCCAGAAUUUGGAAUUUUUCCACGAAGAUGUUCAGAAAUCUGAUGUUGAAUAUGAAAAUGGGCCCCAUGUGGAGUCUCAGGUUGCCACGGGGGUUCGGAGACCCGGGGACCCUCUUAAGUGGGAAACAGGACUGGAGAAUAGUAUUCCUGAGGCAUCAAGAAUAUCAGAAUAUAAAACUGACAACCUAAUGAAGGAAAGUUCCCUAUCCAAUAAAACUUUAUUCAGGGACAGCAGAAACUAUUCCCAGAAAAAUGUGCCGAAGGUCAAUUUCAUUCUCACUGGAAUUCAUUCCCUCGAAGAUGAAAUAAACAAAGGGCCUGAAGUCCCAGCACUGCAGCACCCGCUACCUGACACUGAGGCUCUGGAGGUGACUUAUGGGAAGAUGAAAGAGACGGGUCAGCAAGCACAAGAAAACACAGAGAAGCCUCACAUUCCCGCCACCGCGUGGUCAACAGAGCCGAGCGUCCGCGAGAUCAAGAUGCAAGAUCAAGCCACGCUCAUGACAGAUCCUGGCCAAGUUGUGCUGAGACCCAAAGCGACAAGGCAGAGUAAUGGGGCUUCUCCUCGUGAGAAGGGAGAGUCUACCCCAAGAUCUCCCACCGAAGAGAAUGCCGCCGCCGACAACAUCGCCUUCAUGAUUACCAAAACCGCUGUCCAGGUCCUGUCCAGUGGUGAGGUCCAUGCUAUAGUGAGCCAGAAGGGGCAGGAGGUCCAGACGGUGAACAUCGAUGCCAGGAAGGAGACAGCUUCACAACAGGAAGGGGCUGAACAUGAAGAGCCAGUCGUGUGCCUGGACAAAAAGCCAGUCAUCAUCAUUUUUGAGGAGCCCAUGGACAUCCGGUCUGCCUACAAGAGGCUUUCCACCAUCUUUGAGGAGUGUGAUGAGGAGCUGGAGAGAAUGAUGACAGAGGAAAAGAUAGAGGAGGAGGAGGAGGAGGAGGAGGAGGAGGAGAAUGGAGACCCCGCCGUCCAGAAUAACACUUCCCAAAAGUCCCUUCCGCAGGUGGCCCCUGGCAGUCUUCGCGUGGGACAGCAGGAGGUAACGAAAUUCCAGCCAGGCCUCCUGUCCACGGAGACCAGGACCUCGGGAGGACAGGAAACGUAUCAAAGCGAGCCAAGCACGUCCAGUGCAGCAGACUUCCCCAAUUCUGACGGCAAGUGUGACACGGCCGAUGACCAAUUUGAAAGCCCCAAGAAAAAGUUUAAAUUCAAGUUCCCUAAAAAGCAACUUGCUGCCCUCACUCAGGCGAUUCGCACCGGAACCAAGACAGGAAAGAAGACCCUCCAAGUGGUGGUCUACGAGGAGGAGGAGGAGGACGGCGCCCUGAAGCAGCACAAAGAAGCCAGGCGGUUCGAGAUCAGCCGGUCACAGCCUGAGGACGCCUUGAAAAAUGCGACUAGUAGACAAGAGCAGCCGAGGCAAGACAGCACCUGUCAGAUUUCGAGAACCGACGAGAUCAGAAAAAAUACCUACAGGACGCUGGACAGCCUGGAGCAGACCCUAAAACAGCUGGAAAACACCAUCAGUGAAAUGAAUCCCAAAGCCCUAGUGGAAACUUCCUGUACUUCCGACAGAGAUUCGGGGGCAGGCUCGGCCCACGAGGCCUCUCCCCGAAACUUGCUAGCUCUGGAUGAAGCCCCCCCUGCCCCAGAGCCCCCCACAUCCAUAUCUUCGGCUUCACGUAAGGCCUCCAGUGGGACCCCUCCAACGAGCCGGAUGCCCGUCCCCAUGAGCUCCAAGAGCCGCCCCGCCAGCCUGGACAAGCCCAGCAAGCAGUCCAAACUGCAGGACCCCCGCCAGCUCCGUCAGGACACGGUUUACUAGGCACCCUGGAUGGGGGGCAUGAAGAGAGUCUGAGACACCUCUGUUACUCCUCUCUCCACGCGCUCGUAUGCAUGCAAUAAAACCUCUUUUACUGAUGACUGCAGAUUUCACUGUUAACACGGUGCCGGGCCAGUGGAAUUGUUUGUGGAUGUAGCGCUGCGUCAGAACACUGUGGUUGAACUGCCCCUAAGUCAGCCGUACUAACGUCUGUCCGAUGGAAGCACAGUCACGCCCCCCCGGUGCCCCGCCGCCCGGUCCUCUUCCCCACGCACGCGUGGCCGCCCUGGCCCUCGGGAAUGGAGGCGGAGCGCCGUCCGCGCAGCCCUGCCUCCUGUCUGUGGGCCGCGUCCUUUGCUGUGCGCGGGUGCUCCUCCAGGGCCACCAAAGCCGGGAGCUAGCGCAGGCCUCCCACCGUGUGGCCCUUGUGUUGCUGAGUGAUCUCAGACGGGCUGUGUGGCCGGCGCCUUCUGACACUGUCUCCACCGUCUCUGUUCGCAGGCUAAUGGAAGUGCUAAGAAAGCUGGUGGGGAUUGUAAGCCUACUUCCCCGUCCUUACCUGCUUCUAAGAUUCCAGCCCUUUCUCCCAGCUCUGGGAAAAGCAGUUCCCUGCCCUCCGCUAGUGCUGACGGCUCUAACCUCCCUCAUCCACCGGCUGCUAAACCGGCGACCGCUUCUAACCCUCUCAGCCCCCAAGCAGGACGGCCGGUGCUCUCGCUCUCCGCCUGCCUCAUCCCGUCCGUCCCUAACGGCUCCUUGAAGUCCCAGAGCCCCGCGGCUCACGCGGGGAAGGGCCCCCACCCCGGCUCCUCACCGCAGACGCCCAACGGCCGCGCGGCCCUCUCCCCGCCCUCCCUGACCCAGGGCGCCAGGGCCGUCAGGAUCGUCCACGCCCCCAGCCUCACCAGCUACAAGGCGCAGAACGGAAGUUCCGGCAAAGCCACCCCGUCCACAGCAAAGGAGACCUCGUAAAGGCCAAAUCCUGUGCGGCGCAAGCUGGAAUUACUUCUUCUUCUUUUUGUUUUUUUCUUUUCCUUUUAGCAGUCUACAACUGUGUUUACCAGAGAAUGUAAAAUAGCGCUGUACCAUUUGAGGCUUCGUGCAUAGUGUCUGCUCAGUACUGGAUUGAUAGAUUUCGGUAAAGCGUGUUUUGUUUUUUACUUUGUUGCUGUCGUAACUACAUAAUGUUGACUGUCUACACUCAAUACCUACUAAAGGAAGUGAGCAUGUGCUACGAGAAGAGUGGAGAGAGCAACUGUGUGAGAGAUGGGAAAAUUGUAUGAAGCAUGUAAAACAUGUAUGAUUCCAGAAACUUAGUAUGUUUUGUAUAAAAAUAUUUUUCAUUAUGGAGACUAGAAGUGAACAGAGAAAUACACAAGUGUGACUAUAUGAAUUGUAAAACAGAUACUAUAAUAUUUCCUUUUAUUUUAGUGUUAUUUAGCUUUAUUACAGAUUUCUAUUUUUGUCAAAACUUCACGGUUCCUUUCAAGAUCUUUUUUGCCAAAACAUUUUGAUACUAUAUAGCAUUGUACAUUUGAAAGUAGACACUAGACGAUAAGCCAGUGAACUUCUACACAAGCCAAUAGGGAGACAUAUUUAGGAAGCAAUUCAUCAAAACGAUUGCACUGCCAUGAAAAGUAGGUAUAAUAAUUUGUUAGCCCACGCAAGCUAGUUUUCUUUCCUUUUUUUUCCUCCUUCCUUUUCUUCUUCAAAUUUUAACAUAUUGAGAUUCUCUAGUUGUUUUCUUUGGAAUAUCUAGCCCCUUUAUUUUCUGAGACCUGGUCACCCACACUAUUACAUUGUGGAUUUUAAAAUGUACACUUCUGUAUGGUUCUGUAAACUGAUCCACUUUUGUAAAUAUAUAAAUACCAAUAGACAUAAAAAUACUGUAUGUGACCACACAUAGAGUAGUUUUCCCACACCAAAGUUAAUUUUUAUGCAUGCUUUAAAAAUAUAUAUUGGGAUGGGUAGAAAUGGGACUAUCCACACAUUUUUAAAAAGCAACAAAUUUGCACAGUUGGAGUGUUUUUGUAAAUAAAUGUAUUUGUAUAACACCGUCAUGUAAUAUACAGAACUAUAAGCAGAGACUUUGCAAAACUAAAUAAAGGGCUGCAUGCUUAUUAUUUUUUGUACCUUGUCACUAUAAUUACUUCCUAGUCAAAGAACAACAGGCAGUUCUUACCAGGUGAAGUGUUUUUGGCUUGAGGGCAUUAUAAAACCUGUAACAUCCGCUCGGAUGCUGCUGCUUUUCGGAAAGCGCUGGGGGCUGAUGAGGGGCCUAAUAAAUUAAUUGCAAGUGUGGAGCCUUGGGUGUGGGCUGCUGACUCUUUCCUGGGGCUUCUCAGAGGCUGACAGCCAGCCGGAACGCCAGUGUCCCUCACCUGCCGAGGAACUCCUGCUGCCUUCCUUCUCUCUCUCACCCAGCACGAGGAAAGUGGAAGGAAAAUGUCUUCAUCACCACUGGGAUUUUUUGUUUUAGUUUUCAAUUUUAAAAUACAGUGUUGCUCUGGAGGGAUGUACUAACAUGACACUAUAUGUUUUUGUUUAAGAAUGGAAGGAAAGUUGGUGAGAAUACCAAGACACUGUAUGUACUACAGGGACAACCUCAGGAGCCUGCUUAUCAUUAGUUUUCAAAUAUUUAACUCGGUGGUUUGACAUGAAGACCAGACAGUCCUGCCCUUUAGAGCCCACUUGUAUGUUCUCACACUUCACAAUUAACCAGGUGGGAAGCCUUCACCAGAAACAGUUUCGGAUGUCUCAUUACAGUUGUGGUAGUCACAUGUUUCAGAGAGUGUGUAGGAAAGUGUUUAGGCGUAAAAGGUUCCAACAUUUCAGUCGCAUCCUAUAAUCUCAACGACUACAUUUGUAUAUAAAAUAUACAAAGAAUGAUCAAAAGAUAUGGUGAAUUUAUUUUUUAAAUUGUGAGACCAGGCCGGGGAUUUAGCUUAGUGGUUCUGCCACCUACCUCGAAAGUGCAGGUCCCGAGUUCGAUCCCCGGUACCAAAAUAAAGCUUGUGAGACAGGGUCUCAUUAUAUAGGCUGGCUUACAGUCACUAUGUAGCACAGGCUGGCCUUGAACAUACGUGAUCCUCCUGCCCCAGCCUCUUGAGUGCUGGGAUUACAGACAUGUGCCACCAUGCUUGGCUUAGAUAUCUUAAAAGUCAAUCACAAUAAAAGACAUUGCUGCUAAUCCCCUUGAAAGUACCCACUGGCUUCUCAUCAGUCUUGCCAGUAGCAGCAGUUCUCAGUCCUUUUUUGUGAGCGUCUUUAACUGGGCCUCACUACACGGAACCAAUUUGAAAUGCGUACCUUUGAUGGGAACUUUUACCUUUAGGAAGCCCCAAAAGCCGCAGGGUAGGGUACCGGAGCGAGGUGGGCAAGGGCGCAGAAAUCCGCUGACAGCCGGGCCUCGGCCAGGGCGCUGGGCAGCAGCAGCCUUCACCGAGACCACACUGGCAGGGACGGGAGAGGACGCCCAGAACCGCAGGAAAGUGCCCAGGCAAAGGGAAGUCUUGGGAGGUGGGUUAAUGGCAAUGUGUCUUUUACUACAAUAAAUUUUAAUUUGAACGUUCCCUGUGUCUUUUCAUCGCACUUCAGCUAAUACAUAGCGAGUGGAAGCAUUUUGUGAGGCCCAGUGUAAUAGCUGGCGAUUUCCUGCCAGUUCGCUGGCUCCCUCUUAGGCACGCUGAGAACCACGCAGCUGAACAGCAGUUUGGCUCCCUUUGUCAGUUCGACCCGGAUUCCGCAGAGCUCAGGCGGUCAGAGAACGUGGGUAGGGUCCACUUCAGCCAGCGACGGAUCCCCCGAUUCCCCGGCCUCACGAGAGGGGAGCCUGGCGUAGCCGGGCUGCGGAUCCAGGGCCGCGCGGGCCCAGGAGCUCGCCGGACACAGCUUCGCUGCGGUUCAUGGUCUGGUAGCUCCCUGGUGCCGGCGGGAGAGCUCCCCUGCC